UAAUAUUGUUAUUCUAACCCAAAGGCACCAGAUCCCACCUGAUCUUGCAAGCUAAGCAGGGUUGACCCUGGUUAGUAAUUGGAUGGGAAACUGCCAGAGAAUACCAAAUGCUACAGUAC
rnacentral:rRNA from 1 species